rnacentral:lncRNA from 1 species
GUUUUUUAAUUCACUGGCUUUAUCGCCUGAUACAACGCCAGAUGAAGUCGGUAAAUUAUAAGUUGGAUCCCUGCCCAGAAGACCUAAAACAACCGGAACAGGAGAUGACAUUAUUGCUUGGUUCUUUCCCCUACGCCGAGAGGUCCCAGCUCCAGUUUGUGACUUUCCAAUUUGCCCUUUACUUUGCAUCUGUGCAGAUGGAUAUCUGGGAGCAGUUUGAGCCAGAGUAGUAACAGAGGGCAAAGGAAGCGGUAACUGUGAAUUCAAAACAACCCCAGCGCCCAAAUUAGUGUUUCCACUGUUUGAAGCGGAACCUGAAAUGGUAGUUGGAUUAUGUUCACACUGAUUUUGCUGCAGGAAAAUCCAAUGAUCAUGGUUUGGCUUCAACCUUCACAUGCAGCUAACUAGUUUUUUUGGUUGGGUUUACUUGCAGGCUGAUGGUGUGUUGAUAACAGAGUAUUGUUACAGGAGUCAUGAGUUGAAUGGUGCAGCAGAAUAAUGGAUUAGCAUGGAAUUCUCUACAGGUUCAGUGGCAUUGGGUUAUUGGUUUGAUAGACUUGGUAUCAACUUGAUACAGGUUUUACAUGGUUGCAGAAGGCUGUUGUUUAGCAUUGACACAUGUAAGAAUCAAUAACUUUUUGACAGGAUUUGUGAUGAAUUGUUGCAAACAUGUUGUGGUCUGCAGGUUUCAUUGAUCCAUUAUUAUGCUGCUUUGGUUUUCUCCUCAUGGUUGCAGCAAGAUAAACCACUCUUCAAUUUGNNN